rnacentral:tmRNA from 1 species
GGGCCAGUCAAGGUUUCGACGGGGUUUUGGAAUCUGGAGAAGCAAGCCGUUGUGACACGUUAAUCACACAAUAAAAUUAAACGCUAACGAUAAUUUAGCAUACGCUGCCUAGUUGCAGCUGUCUGACUUAGGGCACUCACACCUUAAGAACCAGGCAUCGACUAUGUGAGAAACGACAUAUGCAAAGCUUUGAGCAUAUGGGCGUAUUAUGAAGCUACUAAAGGUGGCCAGGUGCUUACCACUGACCGCUGGAGGGAAUGUUAAUCGAUAAGCUAAGCUUGUAGAAGUACGGUGGAAGGGGCUUCGGACACGGGUUCGACUCCCGUCUGGUCCAUAA